GCUCAGGACGAACGCUGGCGGCGUGCCUAAUACAUGCAAGUCGAGCGGACAGAAGGGAGCUUGCUCCCGGAUGUUAGCGGCGGACGGGUGAGUAACACGUGGGUAACCUGCCUGUAAGACUGGGAUAACUCCGGGAAACCGGAGCUAAUACCGGAUAGUUCCUUGAACCGCAUGGUUCAAGGAUGAAAGACGGUUUCGGCUGUCACUUACAGAUGGACCCGCGGCGCAUUAGCUAGUUGGUGGGGUAAUGGCUCACCAAGGCGACGAUGCGUAGCCGACCUGAGAGGGUGAUCGGCCACACUGGGACUGAGACACGGCCCAGACUCCUACGGGAGGCAGCAGUAGGGAAUCUUCCGCAAUGGACGAAAGUCUGACGGAGCAACGCCGCGUGAGUGAUGAAGGUUUUCGGAUCGUAAAGCUCUGUUGUUAGGGAAGAACAAGUGCGAGAGUAACUGCUCGCACCUUGACGGUACCUAACCAGAAAGCCACGGCUAACUACGUGCCAGCAGCCGCGGUAAUACGUAGGUGGCAAGCGUUGUCCGGAAUUAUUGGGCGUAAAGGGCUCGCAGGCGGUUUCUUAAGUCUGAUGUGAAAGCCCCCGGCUCAACCGGGGAGGGUCAUUGGAAACUGGGAAACUUGAGUGCAGAAGAGGAGAGUGGAAUUCCACGUGUAGCGGUGAAAUGCGUAGAGAUGUGGAGGAACACCAGUGGCGAAGGCGACUCUCUGGUCUGUAACUGACGCUGAGGAGCGAAAGCGUGGGGAGCGAACAGGAUUAGAUACCCUGGUAGUCCACGCCGUAAACGAUGAGUGCUAAGUGUUAGGGGGUUUCCGCCCCUUAGUGCUGCAGCUAACGCAUUAAGCACUCCGCCUGGGGAGUACGGUCGCAAGACUGAAACUCAAAGGAAUUGACGGGGGCCCGCACAAGCGGUGGAGCAUGUGGUUUAAUUCGAAGCAACGCGAAGAACCUUACCAGGUCUUGACAUCCUCUGACAACCCUAGAGAUAGGGCUUUCCCUUCGGGGACAGAGUGACAGGUGGUGCAUGGUUGUCGUCAGCUCGUGUCGUGAGAUGUUGGGUUAAGUCCCGCAACGAGCGCAACCCUUGAUCUUAGUUGCCAGCAUUCAGUUGGGCACUCUAAGGUGACUGCCGGUGACAAACCGGAGGAAGGUGGGGAUGACGUCAAAUCAUCAUGCCCCUUAUGACCUGGGCUACACACGUGCUACAAUGGACAGAACAAAGGGCUGCAAGACCGCAAGGUUUAGCCAAUCCCAUAAAUCUGUUCUCAGUUCGGAUCGCAGUCUGCAACUCGACUGCGUGAAGCUGGAAUCGCUAGUAAUCGCGGAUCAGCAUGCCGCGGUUGAAUACGUUCCCGGGCCUUGUACACACCGCCCGUCACACCACGAGAGUUUGCACACCCGAAGUC
rnacentral:rRNA from 1 species